rnacentral:misc_RNA from 1 species
CCUCUGUAAUGCCUUUUCUCUUCAACACCAGUAACGCCUUGGAACGGUUGUUGGUUCGGAUUAGCAAAUUGGAUCCAUUCGGUUUUUUUAGGGAGUGAGAUUUUCAGAGAUGGCUUUCGAUUUACAUGAGGCUUUAAUUCAAUGUUGAAAAAGUCAUCUUUAGAUUGAGAAAUAAUUUGCGGUUUUGUUUCAAAUCCGAAAUUAUGAAACGAUUGAAUUUGAGGUUUUGAUUCAAAUUCAAACAACUCGUUACUUGAUUGAGAGAGAAGUUGAGGUUUUGAAUCAAAUUCAAAAC